AACGCACCUUGCGCUCCCCGGUAUUCCGAGGAGCAUGCCUGUUUGAGUGUCGUGAAAUUCUCAACCUACAAACCCUUGCGGUUCUGCAGGCUUGGAUUUGGAGGCUUGCUGGCUUUUACGGUCGGCUCCUCUUAAAAGCAUUAGCUCGUUCCUUGCGGAUCGGCUCUCGGUGUGAUAAUUGUCUACGCCGUGGUUGUGAAGCGUUUGGAGGGCUUCUAGUCGUCUCGUUAGAGACAGCUUCAUUUGACAUCUGACCUCAAAUCAGGUAGGACUACCCGCUGAACUUAA
rnacentral:misc_RNA from 1 species